rnacentral:misc_RNA from 1 species
CAUUAUUGCAAAUUAGAGCUUCUCUCGUCGCUAAUUUCUUCAAUUUCGCCUAAGGAGUCUGGUUCAAUGGCUUCGAUGGGAUCUUCUUUUUGGUGCUACAGAUGCAACCGCUCCAUCAGGGUCAGGGUUCGGGCAAUCCAUGAUUCGAUUCUUUGCCCCGACUGUGGCUGCGGCUUCGUCGAGGAAAUUGGAACCCCUUCUCGCUCCCCGCUCCACCAUCAAUUCCCGGCCGCUGCGAUGUACCCAUCUAAUUCGGAUCACAUUACCGCCCCGAGAUUGCGCCGCAACCGUCGGAAUGGCGGAGAUCGCUCCCCUUUUAAUCCUGUCAUCGUCCUCCGUGGGCCUCCAGAUGGUGGUGGCGAGAAUGAGGGAGGUUCCGGGAACUUUGAGCUAUAUUAUGAUGGUGGUGUUGGGUCUGGCCUCCGUCCUUUACCGGCAAGCAUGUCGGAGUUCUUGAUGGGAUCGGGAUUUGAUCAGCUCCUUGAUCAGUUGACUCAGUUGGAAAUCAACGGCGUUGGUCGAUUCGAGCAUCCACCAGCUUCGAAAGCGGCAAUAGAGUCAAUGCCUGUGGUCAAAAUCCUCUCUAGCCAUGUCUCUACGGAACCUCACUGCGCAAUUUGUAAAGAACCAUUUGAACUUAAUACGGAGGCGCGCGAGAUGCCAUGUAAGCACAUUUAUCACUCCGAUUGCAUCCUCCCGUGGUUAUCUCUUCGCAAUUCUUGUCCAGUUUGUCGGCAUGAGCUACCGACAGAUGUGCGUAGAAAUGGCGGUGGGAGUGGCAGGAAUUCACCGGAAUCAGGUUUUGAGACCAUGGGGUUAACGAUAUGGAGACUUCCAGGUGGCGGUUUUGCGGUGGGGAGAUUUUCCGGAGGAAGGAGAGCGGCAGAGAGUGAGCCCCCUGCUGUGUUCACGGAGGUGGAUGGUGGGUUCAACACUGCCGGUGCGCCCAGGAGGAUUUCAUGGGCGCCCAUGAGGAUUUCAUGGGCACCCAGUGGGAGGAGAUCAAGAGAGGGUGGAGGGUUAGGCCGAGCUUUUCGCAAUUUCUUUUCCUUUUUUGAAAGGAUCAGAAGGCGUGUUAGCAAUGAAUCUGGUUUGACGCGAAGAAGUAGAUCAAAUUCAAUGUUGGAUAGGUCCUCAAGGAAUGAAAACUCGCCUUAGGUUAUGCAAGAUAACGAUGGUGAAUUGAAUUGUGUUUAGGUUACUUAUCUAAUUACUGAUAUCAUCAAUUAUUGGAGUCUUCCAUUCCUCAUAAUAAAAGGGAAUAUAUGUACAUACAAUUCAGUUUACUGUAAAUAGCAACAAUCAAGGAAUAUAUGAGGGAUUGUCUGGUAUAAAUUCUGUCAAGGAGAGAAAUUUUGAAAUAUGGUAGGAGAUUAGUUCUCAUUCAUAUUGAAGAUGGAGAAUAAGAAGACUACGAUGAAAGCUGUGCAAUUAGAGUGGGUCUUUAGAAGUUACUGAGGUACAAAUCCUCGUGUGUAACUGUGCUUCUUAUAAUUUAAGGCCUUCUAAGUGUUUCACUAACCC